GUGUAAAACAAUUUUAAAAGAUAUAAAGGCAGCAUUUUUUAAAAAGAUUUUUAUGUUAAAAAAAAUCUUUUUCUUUAAGACACUCUACAAAAUAAAUUCACAAUAAAAUUUGCAAAUCUAAAAAAAAAAAAUAUUUUUUGACUUUUGAAUAUUUUACAUUGUAGUUGAUAGAAGUAAAAGCUAGAAAUAUACUAUACACAAGCUCAAAAGACAGCCUAACUCGGAAAACUUCUACUUUUCGUUGUUCCACAAAAGUAUAUAGCAACUUAAGCGUGUUUUUAAAAAAGUUUGAAAAAAAUGAACUUUAUGCUUAGGCAAUAAACAACUAAUUGUAGAAAAUUUGUGAACUGCAGUGUACCCAGUUUAUUUUAAGAAUUUGCAGAAACGCGGAAAAUUUAUCAAAAAAGUUUUCUGAUGAAAUUCAAUAGGACAAUGUAGAAGAUUUUAAAUACUGACAAAAAAAUAGAUUUAAGAUGAAAUAAAUCUAAAAUUAUGUUAAUAGAAUUUAAAGUUAAUAAAUUCUUAUUGAUAAACAAAGCACAAAGUAGUAAAUUUUUUUAUCAGUGUUUCAGGACUUUAUUCUGAAUCAACAUCAACAGACAAUGGAAAAUUUCUAAUUUGUCAGAUAUUUAAAUAUCUUGAUUUAUUUUGUCAGACAAUUUUUGUUUUAUGCGCACACUUGCGUAAAUAGAUAUAUUUGUUAGAUAUUAGUUUCAAUAAAAACUAGUUAUACGGCUGUGUAAUAAUAUUAAGCCAUCUAUCAACUCAUCUAGUUUUGCGAAGUUAACUUUGCUUUCACAAACGAACUAGGAGUGUACAAUUUUAAUGCUUUUUUGUUAUCAAUUCUCAAUGACAAUGAUGCUUUUUAAAAGGUCCUCAUAUAUGUAGCAAGAACUUAAAAAAAUUAGAUAUUUCAACCAUUCCUGUAAGUAAAAAAUAGUUUUUUCAUCCAAUUUUACGAACAAGCUAAAGUUUCUUUAAAACUUCCAAAUCUCUGUUUUACCAAUCAAAUAGUAUUAUAACGCAAAUAGAGUAGCGUGGCUAUAAAUAAAAAUGUUUAAUGUAACGCAAGUAAUUAUUUUUAUCAACACAAAUUGUUAUGAAACUGAUAUGCAGACAAAUAUAAAACUAUAAAAAUAUAUUCUGUGACAUAAGUAAAAUCGAGCACUGUUACUCGGAAUAUUUAUUAAAAAAUAUUACGUGACGAGGUCACAUUACAUUAUCCCAAAGAUAAACUCAAAGAACACCGACCUACUUUGCAAAGCAAAAUCUUUUUUAAAUCCAAUUUACUUAAAAAAAUUUAUAUUUUUCUUUCAUUUAUUGCCAGCUUAACUACGCACAGAUUGAGUAGUUAAGAUGGCAACUUCAACGAACAAAAGUAUGACAAAAAUGCAUUUUUUCUUUGUAAAUCAAUUAUAAAAUAAUUUUUUUUUAUAUAUAAUAUAGAUAUUACGCAAACUAGUAGGCAACUAUAUUGAUGUCUUUGACUUUUACAACAAUAACUUAAAAGUAUUCUGUGGGAAAACUUUGAGUUAGUGUUAUAAAAUUUUGAGUAUAUAAACGUUCAAAGAAGGCAAAACUAAUGAUAAUAGUUUAAAUGAUGAGUAUUAUUAACGCUGUCGAAAUUGAAUGCAAAACAGUCGAAAUCAAAUGCAACGGUGUCGAAAUUGAAUGAAACAUUGUCGAAAUGUACUGAUACAAUGUCGAAAUUGAAUGAUACGUUGUCGAAAUGAAGUGGGAAACCCUGUAUUAAAAAUGACUGAAUUUGAAAUAAUUAAGGAAGCAAUUAUAAAAAAGUAAACCGUUUACCUUGAGAAUAAUUCAAUAAAAUAAAUAUUCAAGUUAAAAGUAAACGCCGUAACAGGCUUGAUUAAAGUUUGAAAACCGAAUAAAUGCUAAAACGCACUAAAAUACAACCAUAAAAGUUCAUAUUUACAUUAUUUUCCGAAUUCGGUUGGAGAGUUGAAAGGAAAAUAUGUAACUCAAAUAUGUAAUUCUUAUUUGCAGAAAGAGAAAGCAUAUUGGUGGAAAUUUUUAAAAUGCUAUUUAAAAAAAAAGGCAAUUUUUAAAAAAUGCUGUAAAAACUUCAGUGAAGGAUCCAGUGGCGGGAUGGGGUAUGACGAAAAUGUGGUACAAAGUACGUAAAGGUCGAUAUUUUGCAUCAAUGAAGAGAAAUUAUUUUUUAAUAAGUAGAGAUUGUCUUGCUAGAAAAUGAAGAAUAUUUUACACGAUUGACUCGUGUAAUAAUUCCGGGAAAACACUUUAUAUACUUAUUUUUAAUCUGACGCUUGUUGUAAACAGUUUUUUAUUUCUUAUAACUUUUUUACCAUUUAUUUUUAAAAGUGAGAAAGAAAUAAAAAAGAUCAAAAUUAAUAAUCAUAAAAUGUAUUUUGUUAGCUUUUUAUAAGUGUUUACAGAGUUAAUGUAAGGAAAUUUUUUAGCUUCAAUUUUAAAAAAU
rnacentral:lncRNA from 1 species